AGAAUUCAAGUUUGAAACAAAUUAGUCAUUGAUAGGGUCAGUAGCUUAUUAUAAAAGCAAACACACAACAUCUUCUAACCCAGUAACAUCAACUGUGAAAUUCUGAACUGCCAGGACCUGGAAGCAACAGCAGGGCUCAGCAAAUGAGGAAGCUUGGCUCUCUGGAAGGCAUUACCUGCUCCCUUGAUUGAUUCUGUUCCAGAGGGCCAUUCACAAAGUGCUAGAACGCUGUAAAGAACACAUGGUGGGUUCCAACACCGUUCUUGAGUUCUUUUGUGGGAAGAGGCAAAUUAUAAGGGACAACUUUAGUUGGAUGGCAUGUUACCGGGCAAGGAAUUCAAGAACACAUCAUGUUGAAGACAUUUGUGAUCGGAUGCAGAGAUGGACUUGGGAGGUGCUAUUUGGAACUCAAGGUGAGAGUAUCAGGGUUAAAAAGACCAUGAAGGCUGAGAAGGUGACACCCAAAUUUAAUA
rnacentral:lncRNA from 1 species